CAUUGCCUGAGAUGCACGUUAACUUGAAUAUGUCCAACCUACUUUUAUAAAUAGGGAAUUCGAUGAUAUGCGGCUGCCGGGCCACCUUGAGUGGAUGGCAAAAUCAUGUCUAGGAUACCCACCUGCGGAUAGCGGGUUUGGACAUAUGAAGGAGACGACAUUACGGGCUUUAU
rnacentral:other from 1 species